rnacentral:rRNA from 1 species
CACUCCUACGGGAGGCAGCAGUGGGGAAUCUUGCGCAAUGGGCGAAAGCCUGACGCAGCCAUGCCGCGUGAAUGAUGAAGGUCUUAGGAUUGUAAAAUUCUUUCACCGGGGACGAUAAUGACGGUACCCGGAGAAGAAGCCCCGGCUAACUUCGUGCCACCAGCCGCGGUAAUACGAAGGGGGCUAGCGUUGCUCGGAAUUACUGGGCGUAAAGGGAGCGUAGGCGGACAUUUAAGUCAGGGGUGAAAUCCCGGGGCUCAACCUCGGAAUUGCCUUUGAUACUGGGUGUCUUGAGUAUGAGAGAGGUGUGUGGAACUCCGAGUGUAGAGGUGAAAUUCGUAGAUAUUCGGAAGAACACCAGUGGCGAAGGCGACACACUGGCUCAUUACUGACGCUGAGGCUCGAAAGCGUGGGGAGCAAACAGGAUUAGAUACCCGGGUAGUCCC